rnacentral:lncRNA from 1 species
AGAAUCAUAGAAAGGAAACUAAGAAGGUUAUUGGCCAGCUUCCACUACACACUGUGAAGCAUGGAGAGAAGGGAAUCGAUGUUGAUGCUGAGAAUUGUGCAGUGUGUAUUGAAAACUUUAAAGUCAAAGAUGUUAUCAGAAUCCUGCCAUGCAAGCAUAUUUUUCAUAGAAUAUGCAUUGACCCAUGGCUUUUGGAUCACCGAACGUGUCCAAUGUGUAAACUUGAUGUCAUCAAAGCCCUGGGAUAUUGGGGGGACCCUGAAGAUGCACAGGACCUACCCAUCCCAGAAGCUGCCCCAGGAAGUGUUUCUGUUGGGAAUCUGAGUGUGACAGUCCAAGAUGAGGAGAGGAGUGAAAGCAACCUUCCAUCAUCUUCCUCAAGCGAGUUUGGGCCACACCGCCCUUGUCUUAAAGAAGAUGCAGAGGAGGACACAGCAUUGCUAGGGUGCUUUUGAUGCUUUGUUGUAGGAGCCGGCAGGAGUGACCCUCAGCAUGGAGGAUCCAUCUGCUAGUGCCGUCUUCAUUGACAGCCUCACCGACAGAGCCUUGGCUUGAAUACAGGACACUCAGUUUUCACUCUAGGGCAUAGUUUGUACACUUGAAAACAGUGGAUUCUAUUUUACUUUACCUUUCAGAUUCAGGUUUGAUAUACAAAGGGCUGAGAUAUUUUAUUCCUAAAAGACUUUAAUUAGCCUUCAUCUAUUUAUCUACUAAAGUAUGAUGUCUAUCAUAAAUUUCAUUGUAUCAAACUGUC